CAAACGAAGAUACAGACGGAGCAGUAAUCGUUUUUUUCGGUCGCACCUACUUUCGCAAGCCCCUCUUGUAUUAUGUAAUUGCGCUUUGGUGAACCCCUUGAACGGGCGAAAACUCAGCGAACUGUCAUGCGACUUGUCACUGAGCGAACUGUCAAGCGACUUGCUUGUUUAUAAACAUUGAAAGUGUUCUGCUUUUUGCUCCCCCAAAACUCAAGCCGGUCGGGGUAGAAUCCCGAAACACCGGAAAAAUAGAACCUCCGGAAAGCUUCGAUCCCUUCAACGGACGGAGUGAACUACGACGGGUACACUUUCGAUACGGUAUUCGUAGAGUACGUGAAGGCGCAAACGAACCGGCUAGGAGCGCAUCAUGUGCGACGGAGGGUUCUUCGUGAAUAACAACUCAGGAGAUUAUCUCGAAGCAGCUGUACUUGUAGUGCUACUGGCAUUGGCAAUGAUCCGAGCAGGAGGGAACAUUAAUAUGAAGAAUAUCCGCAUUUAUUGAGGAGGCUUCUUUCUUCAAUCGACAAUCCGGAUCAAACGAUCGGUGCAUGCACCGCAUGCAUGCAUGCAUGACGCUGUGGCGUCACUGAAAGUUGUUACAAAAAACGUCUCACCGACGGAUGGAUUCGUGCGCCAGGCCAGCGUGGAGUUCGGAACGACCGCUGAAUAAGUCCUUCGGAAAAUCAAACGAUUGGUUCUUUAUGCCGGUGGAUGUAACGGCCGAUCAAGAUAAACGUAUUCGGACGAGUUUUCUGAGCAACGGCAAUGUGUUAUACCUACUACGAUCAGGACAAGUCCGGUUGGACGCAAAUUAAGAACAUCCAAGUAAUUCUAUCGCCGCGGAGGGUUUUAUACGGGGAAAUUAGAGGAAAGUUCGGCCGAGGUAAGCCACCAUAGCAGGGCAAGUUUAAUACCUACCUUAUUAGGUAUUUCUCCGAUUAUCUGUCUACAAGAAUUUUACAUUUUCCCAUAAAAUUUCCGUGUUUCCGCUUCCAGGAUCUAGUACGCCAAAGCCAUGAUCGACCGCUGGCUGGUCCAUCAAAAUGCUUCCUCUUUUCGGCCGGUCCCGGUCCGGGGCAAGACUUAACUUCCGAUGAUGAAACUAGAUGGCUUCUUCAGCAAUGUCUCGAUCCACGAGCUGAUUGACGGCACCAAUGUGCUCGGGAGCAACUUGGAGCGUUUCGACAUGGAAGCUUCGCGGUUCUACAUUCCCCGAGGGCCGUUCUUCGUGCGAAGUGUGCUGACCGGUUCGAAGUGAGUCGAGAAGCAGCUUUGGCAGCCGGAUGCUGUGGGCCUGGAGCAAAACCAGCUACAUCUACUCGUCGGCGCAGCGGUUCGAGGCGCCCAAAGAACCGACACUGCGGUCUACCGGCAGGAUUUCGCGGAUGGUUCUAUACAGAGAAAUUUUUGAAGAAAAUUCUGCCAAAGCAUCAAACGCAGAAAAUCGAUCAUGCACAUCUUCGAUGCAGUGCUCUUGGGUGGUCUGGAAAUUCACCGAAGCCUUGAAUCGAGGCCCAUCAAAAUGGUUCCGUUGGCCUGUUCGGCCGGUGCAAAACUUUACUUUUAAUGAUGGAACUAGAUAGCUUAUUCAGCGAGGUAAUCGACAGCGCCAAGGUGCUCGAAAGCGACUUGAAGCAUUUCGAUGGGGCGGAAAUAAAGCUGUUCUACCUUCUCCGAAGGUCGCUCUUCGUGCGGAGUGUGAAGAAGUUCGAAAUGUGCCGAGGAGCAGCUGGAUUUUCGGAAGACUCGGCAGCUGGAUCAUGUGGACCUGGAGCAAAAAGAACCAGAUCUACUCGGCGCUGCCGUUCAAGGCGCCCAAAGAACCGAAACUGGUCUACCGGCAGGAUUUCGAUGCAUUCAUUGAGAAAUGCUCCGAUUUAAAGUGAGUGACGUGAAGUGGCGCUAUGUGUAAGGUAGUUUCGGAAUAAACUACCCAGUUUUAAAUUUAAGUCUCAGUAUGUAUUAUGAUGUUCAAUUAAUGUUCACAAUAAAAUAUCUUAUCUCUACAGUUAGGCACUCGGCUUGAAAUAAAAGCUAUUGUACUCAA